CCCCCCGGGGUGCGUCCUUUAACCCCCAGGGUUCAUCCUUUACCCCCCCGGGGUUUAUCCUUUCCCCCCUAGGGGUGCAUCUUUACCCCCCAGGGGUGCAUUUCCCCCCCCCCAGGCUGCAUCCCCCCACCCCCCCGCGGUGCAUCCCUAUCCCCCCCAUGCCUCUUCCCCCCCUGCGACCCCCCCAGGGUAUAACCCCCCCUCCCCAGCCCCCCCUUCAUAUGGGAUCCUCCUCCCCCAGGCAAGAUGUGUGCCGGAUCCCCCCCCCCAACCGCAGCAGGAUCCUGCCGGAUCCCUGCCCUCAGGCUGGAUCCCUGCCGCCCCCCCCGGCGGGAUCCCCCCCGCCGGAUCCCGCCCCCCCCCCCCCCCCGCGGGAUCCCCCCCCCGCCUCGGCCGCCCCGGGAGCCGCCGGGGGCCGCAUCCUGCCCCGCUGCGCUCCCGCAGCUCCCGCAGCUUGCGGAGGGCCAAAACUUACCCUAACGCAACGCCUAGAAACUAAACUCUGUGCGGGCACCGCAAACGAGCUCCUGGCUGCCUCCCGCUCGUUUUGCUGCUGUUUUAUUUUUAUCCUCACGCGUUUCUUUGGGGGCAUUUUUAUUAUUAUUAUUAUUAUUAUUUUUUUUUCCCUCUCUUUCAUUUCAUUUCAGCACUCGUCCAGGUUAUUUGAAUAGUCAGCUAAAUCUGAUGAAAAAAAAAAAUAAUAAAAAAACAACACAACAACCGUGCUGAGAUCUUACAGUCGCUCUGUUUUGUUCACAGAUAGGGAGCAGGGGGGAGCUGGGCGCUUUUUCCUGCCCCUGCCCUGCCCGGGGCUGGCUGCACGGCAGGCAGCUCGGGCGAGCAACGCGUGGUACCGAACUUCGCGGAGGUUACAAGUUUUUCACCUUUGCAAAGUAUUAAAAUUAAAAUAAAAUUGCAUCUAGAAAAAAAAAAAAAAAAGAGAGAGAGAGAGAGAAAAAAAAAAAAAAAGAGAAGAAGCCCAGACUCCACCUUUGCACUGAAGGGAUUGGUUAUGCAAAUAUGGAAGGGGUUUCCUGGCAAAUACAGCUUUCUACUGUAUGGUUAAUUAAAUCAUCACUCAAAAGCCUUCCAAUGUGACGCUUCUGUCGUAAUCCAAUCAGGUUACGUAGGUCCUAAACAAGAAAGAUAUUUUCCACAUCUGGAAGUCAGCAAUUUAGCAAGUACUGCACAUUAUUAACCAAUUCAGAGCCCACUUCCCAGGGGGAUUUUUUUUUGAAGUUUAAGUGUUCUUAACCAAUGCUCUGCUGUUUUGUUAAUCAAAAAGCUGGUUUACACUGCACGUAAUUGAGAACUAAUACAGAAGUAAGUCAGGCAGCCCAGGCUGGGGAUGCUGAGCGAGGCGGUUUAGUGCAAAGGGGCUGCUAUGGCUGAGCCUCAGCCGCUCCUGCCCGGCUCCCAGCACAACCCGCAGCCGCUUCUCCCUCUAAAAGGGCUUGAAAUGCUCUCCGUGCAAAGAUAAACUUCACGUCUUUCCUACUUGCGUGAUCCUUUCUGAAGGUAACCGUGGAGCUGCCCAAAGGGCUGUAUUAGGGAGCUGCGGAACAAUUUCCCUGCUUUGACAGAGUUAAAUCUAUUACAGCACUUUUUUUUUUUUUUCUUUUUUUUCCCUCCCUCCUGAAGAAAACUGAAACAAAUGGUACACUGAUCCGACACUAUACUUUUACUUACAUUAAGCUAAGAUAAACUGCUCUUGAACUGUGCAUUGAAUGUGUGCCUACAGCAAGAGCAGGAACGCGAGCAAUAGUCACUAGCAAUUGCACUCAAAAAUGCUGCUGAUCAGAGGACACCUUUCUGAUGAUUAAACACUGCAAAGGACGGCGGGGGUCCCCCAAGCCCCCCAACAGCAGCUCAUCCUCCCCACCGCGAUGCGAUUGCUAUUUUUCACCUCCUCCCCGAACCUAACCCUGCGAGCUCCAGGCAGGCGUCGGUGCCCCGGUGUGAUCCGGGUCUGGGGGAGAGGGGAGAGGCAGGGCAGGGGGCUGCCUCCGGGGGGGCUCAGCACAGCCCGGAGUGGGUCCGAGGCUCCCCACAGCCCCUCGCUGCCUGUCCCCCGGCCGCAGGUCCCUGCGCGGCAGGAGGAACGAGGGAAAAAGGCUGCGCCGACGGCUGCGCCCUACUUGCGCCCUAUUUGCGCCCUACUUGCGCCCUGCCCGGGCCGUGGGUCCGAGCGGCCGCGCAGUGCUUGGAGGCUGCUGCCGCCGAGCCCGGCAGCUGCGCAGAGGUGGGGACAAGGCUUUUCUCUUCGCUAUUUUAAUUAUGCACUUAUUUUAUUCCCCCUCACCCCCCUCGAUUCGCUAUUGUCAUUAUUCACUUAUUUUAUUUUAUUUUCCACCCCCCGGAUCUGAGUUAGCUUGGCUUUGCUAAAAGUUUUCUUGCCACUGCUGUCUAAAUGCCAACGCUGUUUUAUUAUUAUUAUUAUUAUUAUUUUUUUUUCUUGCAGGUUACAUGACUUGCCCAUGCCUAAAUAUACCUGUAGAUAGUCAUGUGCACAUACACAGGCACACAACGUGGUGAUAUCUUAAUGAAAUGUAUAGCACAGUGCAAAUAUCCUGAAAUCAGAUUCAAGUAUUAUUAAUUUGAAUUAGAUCCUCUCAGAUCCAGAAGACACUGCCUAUAAAUCAAGGGCAGUCUGGCAAUUCCUUAAAGAGCUAAACUGAAUUUAGAUGCAUAUGAUAAAAAGAAAGAAAAAGAAAAAAGUGAAUGCUAAUUACUGACUCGCUUGAUUUCCAGUUAUCCACAUUUUGUGUAAGAAAAAGCAACCAAAAACCCACAACACAAACAAGUUCUCAAAAUAAAUUAAUCCCAUUACAAAUGCCUUAAAUAUUAUUCAUAUGUUUCCAGAUUACAGAACGGGAGGAUGAACGGCAGAUUAAGAGAAGCUGCAGCCUAACCUGCAGUAGGAAGGAGUGCCACCGAUGUUGUAUCAUAAAACAUAUAUCAGCAGCUACACUAAAAAACAAACCCUCAGACCUGUGCGAUGAUGCUCACGGGCUUCAAGGAACAUUUGCAUUCUCCCAGGACAAAGACACGAAACUACUUAUUUUAUCUUGUCUCGCCCUUGAGUGAAAUCCUAUGCAUCUUUGGUCCAGAAUGGCUUCUCAGGGGAAGGAUUGUACAUCAUGAAGCUUCACACUCUCCUUAGACCUGAUGCCAAAAGAACAGAAAGGAAAGGGAAGGGGUCCUGCUCCCUUCUGUACUCCUGCGAAUGCAGCUCUGUCAGAUCACUCCAGCCAUUUCAUUACUCCGUAAAUGCAACACUUUCUGAAGGAAAUUCACUGUUGAAUUAAGGGGGGAAAGUGGGAUACAAAACAAAUGUUGGUGGUAAUGAAUUGAAGUGAUGAUCUGAGGAGCUCAUAGUGCUUCAUAAGCAUUAAUUAAUUAAACCCGACCAGAUCCCAGUGAGGUAGGCAUUAUGGCCCAUACUUCACUGCUGGCUGCGGUGUGCUAUUUCUGUCUCAAUAUCAUUUUGUUAAUAUGUAUUCUGAUGCGUGGACUGAAAUGGUGUCUGACUAGUAGAGAUGACUGUGCAUAUAUUUAAGCUGUGAAUAUUUUGCAUGAUGAGACUUCACAUGGGCAACAUUUUUUUUUUUCUUUCAUACAGCCUUGUUCCUGAAUAAAAAGUGUAUGAUAAAUGAGUUAUACAGAAAGCAUUGAAGGGCUGCUGGCAAUGUAUAGUUAUGUACGAUAUAUAGCUCAUUCUGUUACUGAAUUACAGCUAAUAUCUCUUCAUUUUGUUACUGAAAACCUGAGUGCACUUCAAUGAAUAUGAAAUUUUCUUUCUUUUGUAAUAUAAUUUACCUAAUUGCCGUAAGAAUUUAACCUAUGAUUUUAACUGCAAUUAUUAGAGAUGUGAAGAGCACAUAAAUCUUUUAUUAAUAAAUCAUAAAAGUUAUUCUGAGUUUUCAUUGUGAGAAACAUGUUUUGUUUUUAGUACUGAUGUAGAGCUUUGACUCCUAAUGAGUGCUUUCCCCCCUUUUUUUUUCCAUGCUGCUCUAAACAAGAUGUUGUUUAUUACUUGAAACAUUAUAUGUAAGCCCCAAGAAUAUGUUACAUGUGACUGCAGUUUUGGCAGACUUUGAGAAACUGAAGUUUCCAGAAAUUUUGCUAUGUUUAAAAACCAGAGCCAUGUUUUAAGGAAAGAUUUCUACUUCCAAAUGUGU